AACGUAUCCUGUAAUGGGGGAUAACCAGUCGAAAGAUUGGGUAAUACCGCAUACGCACGAGAGUGGAAAGUGGAGGAUCGCAAGACUUCACGUUAUAGGAGCGGCCGAUAUCUGAUUAGCUAGUUGGUGGGGUAAAGGCCUACCAAGGCGACGAUCAGUAGCAGGUCUGAGAGGAUGAUCUGCCACACUGGGACUGAGACACGGCCCAGACUCCUACGGGAGGCAGCAGUGGGGAAUUUUGGACAAUGGGCGAAAGCCUGAUCCAGCCAUGCCGCGUGCAG
rnacentral:rRNA from 1 species